GACGAACGCUGGCGGCGUGCCUAAUACAUGCAAGUUGGGCGCUAAAGGUUGGUGCUUGUACCAACUGGCUGUGCAGCGUAAGGGUGAGUAACGCGUGGGGAAUCUGACUUUUAGCGGGGGACACCAUUUGGAGACGAAUUCUAAUACUGCAUAAAAACUUUAAUCACAAGUUUAAAGUUUGAAAGAUGCCAUUGCGUCACUCAAAGAUGAUCCCGCGUUGGAUUAGCUAGUUGGUGAGGUAAGGGCGCACCAAGGCGAUGAUACAUGGCCGACCUGGGAGGGUUAUCGGCCACAUCGGGACUGAGACACGGCCAAAACUCCUACGGGAGGCAGCAGUAGCGAAUCUGCGGCGAUGGAGGAAAGUCUGACCGAGAAACGCCGCGUGAGUGGAGAAGGUUUUCGGAUCGUAAAACUCUGUUUGUAGAGAAGAAAGUGGGUGAGAGUGGAAAGCUCAUCAAGUGACGGUAACUACACAGAAAGGGACGGCUAACUACGUG
rnacentral:rRNA from 1 species